AAGAUAAAUUCAUUUCCAAGUACAAAAUUUCGAAAAUAUAUUAGCAGAAGCUAAUGAAUGCGAAGUAUGUAGAAUAAUGGAUACUUCCCAAUAAUGGCCUUUCAGACAUACAUAAAUGGGACGAAAAAUACAUUCUUAAGUAUUAAAUUUUCAAAAUACGUAAGCACAAAUUAAAGAAAUAUAUUUGCGCGAAAUAUUCGCAUUCAUUGCACAUCAUUUGCCCAUUGAGGCAUGAGGCAGUGGCAGAAGCAGUGCCCAGUUAACUGGGAGGCCAGUUCUUGACUGCGGCAUUGGAGUUGCCCCAAAACUAAUGAUGACGUAUCGAUUGGUUUAUCUGUUGGUCUGCUCAGCUGGCUUAUGCGGCCAAUGCAAUUGGGGAAAAACUGUGUUUGCAGUUGGGGCAAAAUCUAAUGAAUGCGCUCGCCGCGACUUCUGCUGACUCGCUGGACGUCGAUUUGUUUUCAUUUACUCAAGUAAAUGCGACGGGCUGCUCGUAUCUAGUAUGAGGCUGAGUUCUGUCUCCAACGCGCGGAAAUCAUUAAAAUUUUCCGGCAUAUUUGGCAGCAUCAGAGAUUGUAGCCGCAACAAAGGCGAAGGAAUGCUUCACAAAUUCAAUAACCACAAAAGCUUUUUAAAUUUUUUUUUUUCACCCUCAUGGAAACUAAGCUACCCAGCCCCCUGCCCACCCUCGCACUAUCCCAGGAAACUUCUUUUCGGCAUUGAAGUGUUUCUUCUGCCAGGGCCCCGACCAAAUCGCUUUUAGCCCUUUACGAAGUUAGGAAACGUUGGCCGGCGGUUUCCUCAGCUGCUUUUGCCGCUGCUGCUGCUGCUGCGGUUGAUGCUGAUGCUGAUGCUGCUGCUCUUUUGCCAUAUUUUCCACUUUGCCUUUUGCGCGUUAACCCGGUUAACAAAAGGGCGCUGAAUAUUCCCACAGCUCAAUCGAAUUUUGCUCGAACCAAUUUGUACGCAAAUCAUUUUAUCGGCCACCGCCACAACAGCGCCACCUACCGCGGGUAAUAGUUUAUUCUCAACUGUCAUCCGGGCGACAAUGGCCGCUGACAAGGACAAGGCGAAGGGUCAUAAGUGAGUUGGCUGGGCUUGGGUCCUGUUCGGUCGUCCUGUUGUCCUGUUUUCCUUUUACAUUUGCAUUUGCCAUAAAAAUAUGAUUGUUGUGUUUUCCUUUAUUACAUUGGCUUUGUUUGCCGCACACCCUUUAGCGCCCCAUUCGUGGCAUUCGACUCGUAGUUUUGCUCUUGGCAAAAAAAAAAACGAAACUUGUUUAUUUCUUUUGCUCCUUGGCUUUUCUUUUAUUGAUGUACAAAAAAAAAACCAAGAAGAACUAGAGUAAAACAAGCCACUUGAACAUGGCCAGCGGGAAUUGACGAUUUAUCAUUUAUGAUGAUGAUGAUGACGUAUGCAGCUGGCUUUCUCUGCUCUGGGAAAGCGCUGUCCCAAACAACUUUUGGACUAAUCUUCACAAUUUCCCAGCAAAAAUACAUUUUUUUUGUGAUACCAAUUGAACAAUUUGCAUAUUUAUUUAAACUUUUUCUACUAUUUGUUUUUAUUUUAGAUAGCAACUGGAGGCUAGUCGCUCUUUAAACGCUUAACACUUGGCUGAGGGUUGUGUUCUAAGUAUUCAGGGAUUUUCUUUUGAAAUUUGGAAUUUAUUACAAUGCAAGUGCGAGUUGUAAAAAAACGGACCACACAAAGUUGGUGCCUAUCCGACCACAGGAUACUUUCUUUUUAAUUUUUCAGAAUUUUCAAUGUAAUAGACUCGUAAAAAAAUGGUUUAAAAAAUAUAAAGUUUAUA